ACCACCCACCACCACCACCACCAUCACCACCCUUCGCCAUUGCCCUCUCACUUCGUCAACAAAUUUCUCUUCUCCUAACCCCUAAAAUUGAAGAUUCUUCUCUUUCUCCUUUUCCCCUUUGCGUCUCAUUCAAGCCUUUUCCAACAACAUCACUUCCCUUUCUCUUUCUUUUCAUUCCACACUGAAUUUUAUGCCACACUCUCUCAUUCUCUUUCCACGUCCUCCGGCGACGCCAUUCUACUUCUCUGCCAGUUGGAUCUGCGGACGCUAUGACUUCCGCAGUGCCGCCCUCUUAUACUACUAGUCAUCCUCCUGGAGUAGGAGCUUCUACCGGUGAGCCGGAGAAUUUUGGAGAUCAAGCUAUGGAGUUUCUUAAAGCGGCUGGAGAGAUGGCUCUGGAGUUCGGGAAAGGGUGUAGGGAUAUUGUGGUGCAGAGUUUUGGUGAUAAUGAAUCUUAUCUUGUGAAGACGUUUGGGAAGGGAUCGUUCAUUGAGAAAAGAGUGAGAGGACCUUGUGAGAAGGUUUUUGGUAAAUUGCGAUUCUUCAAUGAGUAUUUGCCUGAGGAUAAGGAUCCGUUUCAUGUUUGGAUGGUUAUACUGUCCGUUUUGGUUUUGGUUUUAGCAGUUUUAAGUCUAAGUGCUGAACGGGAUGAUAUUACCAUCUCACCGAUUAAGAAGAUUUAUAUUCAUCCUCCGAGCGCCAGGCGAGUUAUGCUUCCAGAUGGUAGAUUCUUGGCUUACAAGGAGCAAGGUGUAUCAGCAGAAACAGCUAGGUUUUCAAUGAUCGGUCCUCAUACUUUCCUAUCUUCUCGGCUUGCAGGAAUGCCUGGGCUUAAGUCUUCGUUGUUGGAAGAGUUUGGGAUUCGCUUGUUGACGUAUGAUCUCCCGGGGUUUGGUGAAAGUGAUCCUCAUCCUCAAAGAAACCUUGAAUCUUCAGCAAUGGAUAUGUCUUUUUUAGCGGAUGCUUUAGGUGUCAACGACAGAUUUUGGGUAAUAGGGUAUUCCACAGGGAGCAUGCAUGCUUGGGCAGCUCUUAGGUAUAUUCCUCAUAAACUUGCAGGUGCAGCUAUGUUUGCUCCAAUGGUUAAUCCCUAUGAUCCAAGUAUGACAAAGGAUGAAAGACGUUGGACAUGGCAGAAAUGGAGUAGAAAGAGGAAAUUUCUGUACUUCUUAGCUCGAAGAUUUCCUACUAUUCUUCCCCUGUUUUACCGUCGUAGCUUCCUGUCCGGGAAGCAUGAUCGGAUUGAUAGGUGGUUGGCAUUAUCACUAGGAAAAAGGGAUAGAGCUUUAGUUGAGGAUCCAAUCUAUGAAGAGUUCUGGCAAAGGGACGUAGAAGAAUCUAUCAGGCAAGGUAUUGCAAAACCUUUUGUGGAGGAAGCUACAUUACUGGUAUCAGAUUGGGGUUUCAGGCUUCACGAUCUCAGGUUACAGAAACUUCGAGUAAAAUCCGUGAUUCAUUGGCUCAAAUCUUUGGUAGGUGACGUCCAAGAGGAAUUCACUGGCUUCCUUGGUCCAAUACAUAUAUGGCAGGGGAUGGAUGAUAUGGUGGUUCCACCAUCGAUGACCGAUUUCGUUCAUCGGAUCUUACCAGGAGCUGCAGUCCAUAAGCUCCCAUAUGAAGGCCAUUAUACAUAUAUCUACUUCUGUGAUGAAUGCCAUAGACAGAUAUUUACUACCCUCUUUGGAACCCCACAAGGUCAACUGAACAUUUCCCGUUCUGUAGAUCAAUCUUCCUUCGAUCGCGACGCAGAAGAUCUUGAAGUUCAAACCAUCAUUGAUUCUGCCACAGACUAAGAGAUAGGUGUUGUAGCUCACUAUAGAUAAUGUACAUACCACACGAUUGCUCUGUUGCUCCUCAACCAGUCUCUGUUGAUGAUAAUUGAUCAUUUUGAAGAUGGAAAGAGACUCAUGGCAAAUUUAUUGAAAAAGAAACAGAUCCAGAACGAUGGCCUACAAUAGAUAUUGUUCAUUUCCCAUCAAUAAGAGAUGAAGUAACAGAAAGUGGAGGCUAGGAAAUCAUCUGAAAGCCCUUCAAACCUGAAUACAAGGGAGCGGUCGACACUUAAAUCUUUGAAGUUUGAACAUCUUCUUCUACUCGUUUGUGGAAUGAAAAUAGGCCGGUAAGAUGGCCCUUGCCUCACCUUCGAGAACAAGCUCGUCACCAUUCCUCAAACAUUUUGUUUUGAAUUUAGCCCUGAAAGACAUUUGGCGUUCUCAAACCCGAUGAAAUGAUAACUUGAAAUUUGAAUUUGAAAAGGUAGAGAUUCGCCCAAGAACAAGCUUACAGAUGGCUCCGGGCUACAAUCAUCCUCAACAUUAUAAAUCAGAGCAUCUUCAAAGAUUAGACCAUCACCAUACAUUAAAAGAUAAGAAGCAUUAAAUCAGUUGUAAGAACGUUUCAGGUGCCAUUUCUCAGUCCCCUCACAAAGUUCUACUAAGUGUAAGAAAAUGCAAACGGGGUAGACUUACAUAAUGAGAGGAAAUGAUAUGAGGGAACAUCGAAGCAACAAGCAAACCAUGAACAAGACAACCGUUGAAUCCAGCACGUCGAGCUAAUUCGGGAUCGAAAUGCAGAGGAUUAGAGUCAUGACUCACUUUGGAGUAUUCCAAAACAUCUUCACUGGUGAAUAUUCUGUUAUAGCUCAAGAUAUCUCCAACUUUGAGCACAUUAGAAGUUGAUGAAGAGAAGCAUUUCAAAGAAGAAGAAAUAUGUGUUGAGAAUAAACCUCUACUUAGCAUUCUUGUAAAUAAAGGACUUUUAAAUAUUUGCUGCAAAGCUGUAUCAAGAAAACAAAGGGGCAAACAUUAAAAGCGGUAGAGAGAAGAAAAAUAUGGAAGCACCUAAAAAUGUCAUACUUAAGUUUUCUGGGAUGCAUCAUUCUUUUGUAAUUAAAUCGCUCAUAUCAAACAAGUAACUAAAAUAUUACAUAAAAAAACCCAAAAGGAUUCGUCUCAAAAGUUUUUGUUUCAUAGAGAUUUUUGUACGAAUGACUCAAUCACAGUGACUUUAAAGCAGAGUGAAACACCACUAAAAA